rnacentral:rRNA from 1 species
AUUGCACGCUGGCGGCAGGCCUAACACAUGCAAGUCGAGCGGAGCGGCGGACGGGUUAGUAAUGCCUAAGAAUCUGCCUGGUAGUGGGGGAUAACGUACGGAAACGGGCGCUAAUCCCGCCUCCUAUCAUAUGAGCCUCGGUCGUAUUAGCUAGUUGUUGGGGUAAAGGCCUACCAAGGCGACGAUCCGUAACUGGUCUGAGAGGAUGAUCAGUCAAAAUGGAACGGAGACACGGUCCAGACUCCUACGGGAGGCAGCAGUGGGGAAUAUUGGACAAUGGGCGAAAGCCUGAUCCAGCCAUGCCGCGUGUGUGAAGAAGGUCUUCGGAUUGUAAAGCACUUUAAGUUGGGAGGCGUUACCAACAGAAUAAGCACCGGCUAACUUCGUGCCAGCAGCCGCGGUAAUUC